UACGUAGGGUGCAAGCGUUGUUCGGAAUUACUGGGCGUAAAGCGCGCGUAGGCGGAUUGGAAAGUCGAUUGUGAAAUCCCUGGGCUCAACCCGGGAAUUGCAGUCGAAACUCCCAAUCUUGAGUGCCUGAGAGGAUGGCGGAAUUCCCGGUGUAGUAGUGAAAUACGUAGAUAUCGGGAAGAACACCUGAGGCGAAGGCGGCUAUCUGGCGGUGCACUGACGCUGAGGCGCGAAAGCGUGGGGAGCAAACAGG
rnacentral:rRNA from 1 species